UCCGGUUUGUCACCGGCAGUCUCGCAUGAGUCCCCAACUAAAUGCUGGCAACACGCCACGGGGGUUGCGCUCGUUGCGGGACUUAACCCAACAUCUCACGACACGAGCUUUAGACAGCCAUGCACCACCUGUGUAGGGCCCCGAAGGACACCGUAUCUCUACGGCUUUUCCCUACAUGUCAAGCCUAGGUAAGGUUCUUCGCGUUGCAUCGAAUUAAGCAACAUGCUCCGCCGCUUGUGCGGGCCCCCGUCAAUUCCUUUGAGUUUUAAUCUUGCGACCGUACUCCCCAGGCGGAAUGCUUAAUGCGUUAGCUGCGCCACUGAAGAGCAUGCUCCCCAACGGCUGGCAUUCAUCGUUUACGGCGUGGACUAC
rnacentral:misc_RNA from 1 species